rnacentral:rRNA from 1 species
UACGUAGGUGGCGAGCGUUGUCCGGAUUUACUGGGUGUAAAGGGCGUGUAGGCGGGGAUGUAAGUCAGAUGUGAAAUUCCAUGGCUCAACUGUGGCGCUGCAUCUGAAACUAUAUCUCUUGAGUGCUGGAGAGGGAAGCGGAAUUCCUAGUGUAGCGGUGAAAUGCGUAGAUAUUAGGAGGAACACCAGUGGCGAAGGCGGCUUUCUGGACAGUAACUGACGCUGAGGCGCGAAAGCGUGGGGAGCAAACAGG